GUCUGAAAUGGCCGCCCCUGGGCUCUGCCUCCCGGCGGCUGGAGGGCUCUCACCUCGGAGCUCCUGCUACCCACUGGCCUCGCCCUGGGUCCCCGUCCUUCUCCCUGCGGAUGCUGCCUGGAGCUGGCGGUAACCUGUUGCAGUGUUGUGCAAUCUGUGAUACCGAAAUCAGAGCAGAGAGUGUCUUCUUGACGCGGCGGCUCACCGGCCAGAGCCCUAGGGCCAGUUGAAGCGGCUGCCCGCCAGCAGCGAGUCCCGGAUGCAGUGAGUGGGGAGGACUUCGAAAGCGUGAGAGACUGGAGUCAGACCCUGGGAAGAACCAGCAGACAGAAAGCAGGUAUGGGGUGUGCAUUUAUCCUGAGGCUGGAACCCCUUCUACCCCUACCCCGAGACCACCGCCCCCCCUCCCCGUGUGGAGUCUGGAGAAACUGCAGGGCAUUGGAGUUUAGGGCCGUGCUGCUUGGACUGUGUCUGCCCUGGGCCAGGCUGGGGCUUCUGGGGAGGGAACAAGUGUGGGGUCCCCAUGGGCUCAGGCUGCCCGGCUCCUGCCUUAAGCAAACAGAGGCAGGGGUGGGAGCAACAGAAACCACAUAAAUGUGUGUAUGUGCGUGUGUGUUUGUGCAUGUGUGUGCAUGUAUGUGUGUGUCUGUGUGUGUGUCUGUGUAUUUCUUCAGGACGCAGUGGCCAGGCCUGGGCCGGGGGACCGGGCCCUGGCCACAGCUGUAAUUGGAUUCCUGCGCCAGUACAGGGUGCAAUGGCCCUGGUCUUGUGGUUAGCAGGUGCCAACCCCAGGCCCCACCGGCUGACUGCAGGGAGGAUGGGGGCCGCUCACCCUCCUUCCGCAGGCAGCAGGGCUGGGGUGCCAUUCACCCACCUACCGCCCGCCCCCACCAGGCUGCAGCGGGGCUGGGGGCCACUCACCCUCCUUCUGCACAACCCCCCCUGGAAGCACUUCUUGAGCCGGCAGGACUGGCACUGGUCACGCUGAUGUUGGUCCAUCUGACAGUCCCAAUUGGACCUGCAGGUGUAGCAGUGUUAGGAGCUGAUUGUCUAAUGAAUAUACAGGGUGUGUGUUUUUAAAGCCUGAUAAUUUUAGACAUAACUUUCUCCACGUUUUAUAUUUCUAUAUUUUAGUUUUCGUGUAUCCAUUUGAAAGGCAGAGAGUAAUUAUACUGUGUGUGUGUGGCAGGAACCCAAUUCCUUGAGCCCUCCUGUGCUGCCUCCCAGCGUCUGCAUUAGCAGGAAGUUGAAGACAGAAAUGGAAACAACACUCAGAGGCCCUCAUUCCAUUGUAGCAAGGUUGUCUCAAGGAAAUUCUUAACCACUUGGCCAAAUGCUCCCUCCUGCUUACUACUUUUUAAACACCACUCUCUUACAUUACAUAGGCCCAGGAUCACAAAAAUUACCAAUUCCAAUGUUGGCAAAGCCAAUGAAAAUGGAGCUCUCACAAAGAAAAUGAAAGCCAAGCAAAUUAUUUAAUUAGAAGUAUUAGCUUGAAUAAAAUAAUACUUUGAGUUUCGUGUUUCAUCAGGUUAGAUAAGUGAUGGAUUUUCAAUAGCAAUAUACACUGAACAUAAAAAAGAUGUACAAAUAUUUUCAACCAUCAGUAUUACACAUUUGCAAAAGCAGUGGAUGCUUGAAUAGUUCUACAAAAAUGUGUUCCAAAAUCAUGUGAUUAGUCUUUAAAUAAAGGAAAUGAAUGUUUAUCUCAAUGAACCAUUUCCAAAAGGGCAGAAAUACAAAAUAAAGCCCCUAACAUGAACUGGAUAUGACAAUAAUUAUCUUUGAAAAUUCAUUUUGUUUUAAGAACUGUUUCUGAAAACUAUUUUUUAAAAAGUAAACAAUAUUUUAAUGGGGAAUUACUAACCAUGAUAUAAUAAAAUAUUUUCUGGAAUUCUUGAUCACAGUUUGAAGCCAGAUUUAAUUUAAAAAGUUACUAAAGGUGGGAAAUAAGGCAUACAAGAAAAACUAUUUUUAAUUUUUAAAUGUAUCUAUAUCUUUAAGCAUAUCAAAUGUCAAAAUGAGAUUAUUGAGAAAACACAUGGUAAUAGAGAAUUAUUAGAUUUAUUUCAAAAAUUCUUAUUGAAUUUUUUAUAGGCUCUCAAAACUUGAUGUAGCAAUCUAUUUUUUCUGGGACCACUUUUGUUCCUUUGUCCACUCCUGUUAGCAUUAUUUGGCAAAAGUUGAAUGUUGAGGUACACGUGAGAGAAUUAUUACUCAAUUUUCCUGGCCAGUUUUAGGUAAGAAAUCAGGAAACAACCACAACCACCACAACAAACACCACUUUCUCAAGAGCAUUUGCAGAUCAGUUCUGCAGACUUCAAAUGUUUUCAGGUUUGGAAUGUUUAGACUACCGCUCUCAUGCUAAAUUCUCAGUGGCUUUCUUUUUAUUUCUGAAUUGCUUUUUACAAAAAGAAUGCAGCAUAAGGAACUGACAGCAAAAUACACUGUUCCCCAGAUGGUUCCAAUAAUAACUAUGCCAAUUGUUUGUAUUUAUAUUGCAAACAUCAUAUUUUCACCUAAGUAUCACUUACCUCAAAUGUUAACUGAAUAGUUUUAUAGAAUUGUUUUUUAAGAUUUAUUUUCUUUGAAAGGCAGAGUUAUUCUACAAAAAGUAACGGAUAUCAUCAAUACAAGCAUAAUUUUAAUUCCUUCAAGUGAUUGAUAGAAAGGUAUGUUUUGUACCUUUAAUUUGAACAGGAUCUCCCCAAAAUUAAAUUAGAUAUAUUGUUUACCAGUGUGAUAAAAUGUAUCUCACAAAGAGAAAAUAUGAUACAAAAAUAUA